GGGGAUAACGACUGGAAACGGUCGCUAAUACCCGAUAGGCUGAGGAGUUAAAGGAGAAAUCCACUACAGGAGGGGUGUGCGUCUGAUUAGCUAGUUGGUGGGGUAAGAGCUUACCAAGGCGACGAUCAGUAGCUGGUCUGAGAGGACGAUCAGCCACACUGGGACUGAGACACGGCCCAGACUCCUACGGGAGGCAGCAGUGGGGAAUAUUGGACAAUGGGGGCAACCCUGAUCCAGCCAUGCCGCGUGUGUGAAGAAGGCCUUCGGGUUGUAAAGCACUUUCAGCAGGGAGGAAGGCUUACCCCUAAUACGGGUGAGUACUUGACGUUACCUGCAGAAGAAGCACCGGCUAACUACGUGCCAGCAGCCGCGGUAAUACGUAGGGUGCAAGCGUUGUCCGGAAUUAUUGGGCGUAAAGAGCUCGUAGGUGGUUCGUCGCGUCUGCUGUGAAAGUCCGAGGCUUAACCUCGGAUCUGCAGUGGGUACGGGCGGACUAGAGUGCGGUAGAGGAGAUCGGAAUUCCUGGUGUAGCGGUGGAAUGCGCAGAUAUCAGGAGGAACACCAGUGGCGAAGGCGGUUCUCUGGACCUUUCCUGACGCUGAGGAGCGAAAGCGUGGGGAGCGAACAGGCUUAGAUACCCUGGUAGUCCACGCUGUAAACG
rnacentral:rRNA from 1 species